rnacentral:misc_RNA from 1 species
ACUCUUUGUUGUACCUUUGUUCAUCUGAUGCAAUCAACAGGAUCAACACUAAGCAGUGUUAUAAAAUAAAAGCCCAAGGAAUAUUGAACUGGAAAGAUUACAACUGCUGCAAAAGCGCUCUUUUCUUCCUAAGGAAAUGCAAAAAUCACAAAGGAUCCAAAAUGUCAAUCUAUUAUAGAAAUCUUCUGGCUUCUGCCUAUAUUCAAUAUUUUCUAUUGCUGGAAAUGAUGAGAUUUUUACUUAAUGCAUGGGGAUAUGUCUCAUUAAAGAAUCCAUAAUGAUGAGAAAAUCAUGAGAUUGAUUACCAAAAUCUUAGGAGUAAUUUAUGAUUUAUUGAUAGGAUAUCAUGUAUAUCUUGAAUCUUCCAUUAUAAAUAUGGAUAUUUAUAUAUUAUGUUAAAUAUACGUAUUUUUUUUUUGAAAUAAAA